UCAGCGGCCGAAUCCACUGUGAACUAUAUUUAUAUAGUUCUUACCCCAUUUUAUUGCAGGGCCGAGUGCGAGCGUUCCGGGGGAGGAUCGCGGUAAGGGCAUAGCGCCCUAAUGUAGUGACUUUCCAUUAUGCAUUAGAGCUACCUUUUGUAUACGAGCGUAGAUGAUGUAUAGGUUGUGAGAUGUUUUGGAAAGAUUGUAAACUUUAUGUUUAUGUUUUGAAAGCUUAAAAAUGUAAAUUAAAGCAAUGUAAAGAGGUUGAAUGGAUGUAAUAGUU
rnacentral:lncRNA from 1 species